GGAUGCGGGUGCUAAUCAUGCAAGUCGAGCGGACAGAUGGGAGCUCGCUCCCUGAUGUUAGCGGCGGACGGGUGAGUAACACGUGGGUAACCUGCCUGUAAGACUGGGAUAACUCCGGGAAACCGGGGCUAAUACCGGAUGGUUGUUUGAACCGCAUGGUUCAAACAUAAAAGGUGGCUUCGGCUACCACUUACAGAUGGACCCGCGGCGCAUUAGCUAGUUGGUGAGGUAACGGCUCACCAAGGCAACGAUGCGUAGCCGACCUGAGAGGGUGAUCGGCCACACUGGGACUGAGACACGGCCCAGACUCCUACGGGAGGCAGCAGUAGGGAAUCUUCCGCAAUGGACGAAAGUCUGACGGAGCAACGCCGCGUGAGUGAUGAAGGUUUUCGGAUCGUAAAGCUCUGUUGUUAGGGAAGAACAAGUACCGUUCGAAUAGGGCGGUACCUUGACGGUACCUAACCAGAAAGCCACGGCUAACUACGUGCCAGAGCAAGGAAAAAAAAACAA
rnacentral:rRNA from 1 species